rnacentral:rRNA from 1 species
UACGUAGGGUGCAAGCGUUGUCCGGAAUUAUUGGGCGUAAAGAGCUCGUAGGCGGUCUGUCGCGUCUGCUGUGAAAACUCAGGGCUUAACCCUGAGCUUGCAGUGGGUACGGGCAGACUAGAGUGCGGUAGGGGGAGACUGGAAUUCCUGGUGUAGCGGUGAAAUGCGCAGAUAUCAGGAGGAACACCGGUGGCGAAGGCGGGUCUCUGGGCCGUAACUGACGCUGGAGGAGCGAAAGCUAGGGGAGCAAACGGG